AAACAGAGCCAAUAAGUUCUCAGAGGGCGGUGUAAACCAAGGGUGAUUUGCAUACACCCCAUAUAACAGCCUCGCCCCAACGCAACGCUCGUCACUUGCAAUUGAGUUAACGGCUUGCUGAAGGAAGUUUAGUCGAGUGAUCCCUGACCCCCUAGAAAUGGCAGACAAGGAAACCAAGCCCACAAUCGGCGGCGAUCUGCAGGAGGCGAUUGCUAAAUUCGAAAAGGGUCAACUCCAUACCUGCGAGACGAAAGACAAGACCGUCUUGCCCGACCAAGCCACAAUUGAACAAGAAAAGAAAGCGGCGCAAGAAGAAGCAUCAGGAAAAUGAGAUGCCUUUCUGAUCUGUCCUGUACAUUCCACAAGCAUUGCCUUCUAGCUAUAUCUUUGUAAAAAAGGGGAAAAAAAUCCUUUCUUGGAUGCAGUAUAAUCGGAUUGAAUGAACUGGCUGGCUCGUUCCUUACCCCAUUACCCCUAUCACUGUCCCCCCACUUUUCCUUCCUGGCCUUUCAAAAACAAAAUGACGAAUUGAACUACUGACCAUCAGCCUGGCUUGACUUCUGAUGGCACUCAAUAGCUUGCAUGUCAAGAGGAGCUUUGAAAAGACUGCAGGAAUCCUAAUAACCAAAUGCCUGUGAAUAGAACAAAGAUACCAAGGACCUGUGUUCAUUUAAGUUGAAUGUAACGUGCCAUUUUGUUAGGCCCCUUGGAUUGCAGAGUAACUUGUUUUUUGAUAUGCAAAUAAACAUUUGAAAUCUAA